GAGGUUGUGGCUCAGCGGUAGAGCACUUGCCUAACAUGUGCGAGGCCCUGGGUUCAAAUCUCAGCAUACAUA
rfam:Ictidomys tridecemlineatus contig108780, whole genome shotgun sequence.